GGGGAGGAGACCCAGGGCUGAGUAGGGUGUCUGGCAGGUGCACAGGGAUGUACCAACAGUAACAGACAGUGCUAAUGAAGGUUCCAUGUUAUAAAGUGAUGAGCCAGAACUGAGAACUGAGAGCCAGGAUGCGCUGGCUCCGUGGAUCUCUUGCUCUUGAUCCCCAGGCACAAGCAUUACCACCUAGCCUUCCUACAGAGUGGAUGUUGACCUACUUGACCACGAGUCAGCCCAGAUCCAGGGAAGUGAAGCUGCUGAAUUCAAAGUCAAGGGCAAGACUGGGCAGAUGAGACUCAAGCUGUAACCAGGAUUCUCCCCACAUCCUGCCCCCUAGGGGCUGUAGAUAGGCUUAGCUGGUAAGAUGCCUCCUUCAGCUCGGAUUCCAUGGACACCGAUGGCUUUCAUCUCAAAAGGAUAAUACAGCCCUCAGGACCCAGGGGUGCAGAAGAGGCAUUGAGGACCGGGUUCCCCAGGGUCUAUUCCCAGGAACCCAAGGAGAGAAAAGGAGGCUCUGGGUGAGGUGGCUCUGGGACCCUCAGUCCCCUAAACAUGCCACCAUGCUACCUGCUCUGCAGGUGUAGUGGGUCCUUCCCGACCUAUGUGGUUAAGGAGGAGUUGAGGAUCCCUGGGAUUUUUAACCUUCAAGUACACCAGGGACAAGAAGCCCAUUACGCCUAUAGGUCUUUUUGCAAUUAUUGCAUUGUAUGUUAUCCCUCUAUUAUAUCUGUGUACCAUGCUGUGGAGGUCAGAGAUCAACUUGCAUGAAUCGGUUCUCUCCACCAUGUGGGUUCCAGGAAAUGAACUGAGGUUAUUAGGUUUCAGACAGCAGUACCCUGACCAGCUCAUUGGACCAAUUGAUGCUAGGGACGGAACCCACCACCUCACACUCACUAAGUGUGGGCUCUGCAUCACCACACCUGGCUUAUGUAGCAGCUUCCUUUCAGUGAUGCGAUUUUGAAAACUUCACUAUGUAGCUCUGCCCAUCCCAGAACUCACUAUGUAGCCCAUACUGGCCUUG
rnacentral:lncRNA from 1 species